rnacentral:rRNA from 1 species
AGUGAACGCUGGCGGUAGGCCUAACACAUGCAAGUCGAACGGCAGCACAGUAAGAGCUUGCUCUUACGGGUGGCGAGUGGCGGACGGGUGAGGAAUACAUCGGAAUCUACUUUUUCGUGGGGGAUAACGUAGGGAAACUUACGCUAAUACCGCAUACGACCUACGGGUGAAAGCAGGGGAUCUUCGGACCUUGCGCGUUUGAAUGAGCCGAUGUCGGAUUAGCUAGUUGGCGGGGUAAAGGCCCACCAAGGCGACGAUCCGUAGCUGGUCUGAGAGGAUGAUCAGCCACACUGGAACUGAGACACGGUCCAGACUCCUACGGGAGGCAGCAGUGGGGAAUAUUGGACAAUGGGCGCAAGCCUGAUCCAGCCAUACCGCGUGGGUGAAGAAGGCCUUCGGGUUGUAAAGCCCUUUUGUUGGGAAAGAAAAGCAGCGGGUUAAUACCCCGCUGUUCUGACGGUACCCAAAGAAUAAGCACCGGCUAACUUCGUG